AUAUUUACCUGGCAGGGGAGAUUCCAUGACCAUGAAGAUGGUUCUCCCAGGUAAGGUUCGUCCGUUGCGCUAAGAUGUCUAACAUUUAUCCCUUUUUUCCAUCUUCACUGCUCC
ensembl:snRNA U1 U1 spliceosomal RNA